GACGUAGGGGGCAAGCGUUGUCCGGAAUUAUUGGGCGUAAAGCGCUCGUAGGUGGAUCGAAAAGUCUGUGAGGAAAUACCUGGGCUCAACUCAGGAACCCGUGCGGAUACUUUCGAUCUUGAGGCAUCAGAGGAUGAUGGAAUUCCCGGUGUACGCGGUGAAAUGCGUAGAUAUCGGGAGGAACGACCAGUGGCCGAAGGCGGCGUUCUGG
rnacentral:rRNA from 1 species